UGAAAUGUUAAAAGAAAACAGAUACAGCAGAGAUUCAAGUAAAUGUUGGUUCAUGUAACGAUAAAUAACUGCAGAUCAAACUGUCGGUGUCCUCUGGCUUUAUUCUUGGUCUUCUGGGAUGAGUGAAGACACAAAGCAGUUCUUGUUGAAAGGAGGAGUUUACCUGGGCCGUGCUGUGAGGGGAGUGGCUGAUGGAGGAGUAGAACACAUCCUCUGCAGGGUCGACCUACACCAUGAAGACACCACAUGGACUCUUCACUUAUAUGGAUUCAUACUGACUUUACAUGAAAACCAUCGUCCAGAAACGCUGCUUCUGUGAAGCUGUAACAGUUAUUUUCAUCUUUGUAACUGACCGUGUGUUUGUGCGUCUGUGUUUUGUUCCCUGAGACGACAGGAACAGAAGAGUCGGCCUCGCAGAGAGAAGAGUCAGGUUCAUCAAAACCUCUCGUCUCCUCCACAGAGAAGGUUCUGUUUUCAUCUGCGUUCAUCUGGGUGUCUAUAGUUGGAAGGAUCACACACAAACAAAGAUGAGUUGUGGUUACAUGAAGUUUUAUUUACCUUGAUAAAAACAAUCUGGAAUAUUUAGAUGACUGAUAUUUAUGAGUGUUUGAAAUAUGGUGCAGAUCCAAAUCCAGACUAAGGGAAUUCAAACGUGGUUCCAUGAGACGAUCAGGCCUUGGAGGAGGUAUAAACUCUAUAAGUGACAUGUUAGUUACCUUUGUUUCUUCUCCAUCUGAUGAGAAUCACAACCAAUAUUAUGAUUGUGGCAAAACCCACAACCGGACCG